UACGGGGGGGGCUAGCGUUGUUCGGAAUUACUGGGCGUAAAGGGCGCGUAGGCGGUCGCGCACGUCCGUUGUGAAAUCGCUCGGCUCAACUGGGCGGGGUCAGCGGAUACGGCGUGGCUGGAGCAAGCUAGGGGGCAAUGGAAUUCCCGGUGUAGUGGUGGAAUGCGUAGAUAUCUGGAGGAAUACCGGUGGCGAAGGCGGCAUCCUGGACCGGCAUUGACGCUGAGGAGCGAAAGCUAGGGGAGCAAACGGG
rnacentral:rRNA from 1 species